GUGUCAUUAAAAUGAUACAGAGAUUAGCAUCAUGAUGCCUGCACAAGGAUGACACACAAAUUUGUGAAGUGUUCCAUAUAAAA
rnacentral:snRNA from 1 species